AGAGUUUGAUCCUGGCUCAGAUUGAACGCUGGCGGAAUGCUUUACACAUGCAAGUCGAGCGGCAGCGCGGGGGCAACCCUGGCGGCGAGCGGCGAACGGGUGAGUAAUGUAUCGGAACGUACCCAGUCGUGGGGGAUAACUAUCCGAAAGGAUAGCUAAUACCGCAUACGUCCUGAGGGAGAAAGCGGGGGACCGUAAGGCCUCGCGCGAUUGGAGCGGCCGAUAUCGGAUUAGCUAGUUGGUGAGGUAAAGGCUCACCAAGGCGACGAUCCGUAGCUGGUCUGAGAGGACGACCAGCCACACUGGAACUGAGACACGGUCCAGACUCCUACGGGAGGCAGCAGUGGGGAAUUUUGGACAAUGGGGGCAACCCUGAUCCAGCCAUUCCGCGUGAGUGAAGAAGGCCUUC
rnacentral:rRNA from 1 species